rnacentral:rRNA from 1 species
AUUGAACGCUGGCGGCAGGCCUAACACAUGCAAGUCGAGCGGAUGAAGGGAGCUUGCUCCUGGAGUCAGCGGCGGACGGGUGAGUAAUGCCUAGGAAUCUGCCUGGCAGUGGGGGAUAACGUCCGGAAACGGGCGCUAAUACCGCAUACGUCCUGAGGGAGAAAGUUGGGGAUCUUCGGACCUCACGCUAUCAGAUGAGCCUAGGUCGGAUUAGCUAGUUGGUGGGGUAAAGGCCUUCCAAGGCGACGAUCCGUAACUGGUCUGAGAGGAUGAUCAGUCACACUGGAACUGAGACACGGUCCAGACUCCUACGGGAGGCAGCAGUGGGGAAUAUUGGACAAUGGGCGAAAGCCUGAUCCAGCCAUGCCGCGUGUGUGAAGAAGGUGUUCGGAUUGUAAAGCACUUUAAGUUGGGAGGAAGGGCAGUAAGUUAAUACGUUGCUGUUUUGACGUUACCAACAGAAUAAGCACCGGCUAACUUCGUG